rnacentral:rRNA from 1 species
AGUGAACGUUGGCGGCGUGGAUUAGGCAUGCAAGUCGAGCGAUCGUAGCAAUACGGGAGCGGCAAACGGGGUAGGAAUACAUCGGAACGUACCCUUUGGGUCAGGGAUAGCGUUGGGAAACUGACGGUAAUACCUGAUAAAGUCGAGAGACCAAAGGUUUACUGCCGGGAGGAGCGGCCGAUGCGAUAUUAGGUAGUUGGUGGGGUAAUGGCCUACCAAGCCUGAGAUGUCUAGGGGGUGUGAGAGCAUGGCCCCCACCACUGGGACUGAGAAACUGCCCAGACACCUACGGGUGGCUGCAGUCGAGGAUCUUCGUCAAUGGGCGAAAGCCUGAACGAGCGACGCCGCGUGCGGGAUGAAGGCCCUUGGGUUGUAACCGCUGUCAGGGGGAUGAAACCGCAAGGUUGACAGAGCCCCAGAGGAAGCACGGGCUAAGUUCGUGCCAGCAG